UGGGGAAUUUUGGACAAUGGGCGAAAGCCUGAUCCAGCAAUGCCGCGUGUGUGAAGAAGGCCUUCGGGUUGUAAAGCACUUUUGUCCGGAAAGAAAUCCUUGGCUCUAAUACAGUCGGGGGAUGACGGUACCGGAAGAAUAAGCACCGGCUAACUACGUGCCAGCAGCCGCGGUAAUACGUAGGGUGCAAGCGUUAAUCGGAAUUACUGGGCGUAAAGCGUGCGCAGGCGGUUUGCUAAGACCGGAUGUGAAAUCCCCGGGCUCAACCUGGGAACUGCAUUGGUGACUGGCAGGCUAGAGUAUGGCAGGAGGGGGGUAGAAUUCCACGUGUAGCAGUGAAAUGCGUAGAGAUGUGGAGGAAUACCGAUGGCGAAGGCAGCCCCCUGGGGCCAAUACUGACGCUCAUGCACGAAAAGCGUGGGGGAGCAAAACAGGAUUAGAUACCCCUGGUAGUCCACGCCCUAAACGAUGUCAACUAGUUGUUGGGGAUUCAUUUCCUUAGUAACGUAGCUAACGCGUGAAGUUGACCGCCUGGGGAGUAC
rnacentral:rRNA from 1 species